rnacentral:lncRNA from 1 species
CAAAAAGAUAUAUUUUCACACUGCUUUCUCCAGAGGAUAUCUCUUUUCCUUGUUUCUUUUCAAUUUCUAGGGCUGUGAACAAGGAACCAAGUAGUUUGACUGCUGCCUGCUGCAGUCAGCGGAGCAUGCCAAUCCUCACAGCAUUUCCCUAUUGGAGAAGCUCAGAGCAGUAACCCUCAGCUGCAGCUCUGCAGAGAAGUGCUGCAGUGCUGCUGGAGGAGUGCCAAAUGAAGGCCAGGACAGGAGAGACAGUAAGGCCCAGCCUAACUCUGCACCUUUGGGAAAAUCAGCAUAAAACAUGAUACAGUAAGAAUGUUUUGAUAUUUUUUUCUAUUUUUUCCUCUUAAGAUAGUUUUAUUUGGUUGCAAAAUGGUGAUCUCCACACAUGAAGAAUAGUGAUGAAGUUAAGGUUUUACUCAGAAGCAAUUGGCAGUUGCCUUCAUUAUCAAAGUUAUCUUUGUGAUCUUGAGCACAUUCUUCUCUUUCUUGGAUAAUGGUGGCUGGAUAAGUAUCAUCAAUAGAGAAAUAUAUCUGCAGGAAGAAGAUUAAUAGUACUUGAGGAAUCUAAUCUCUCA